ACUUAAAAAACAGACUCAUGGUUUAAAUGGAUUCCUGCCAAGAAACAGCUCUUUAAGGUGACUUUAAUGGGGCCAGCAGGGCUGAGAACCAGGUCAAGGUUGAGCUGCUGCCUGGAUCCAUGGUGAUGUGAGGAAGUUGUAUGUCAACUUCAUUUCUUCACAUAAAAUUGCAUUCAGAAAAUACUGCACAGACAGUUGUACUGGCCCAUAAAGUGAACAGAAGCAUUUUAAUCUUUAAGAAGUUAUCUGUUCAGCUUUUUUGGUAGUUCACCUUUUAUUUUCUAACCAAAACCUUAACUCUAAUGUUGUGAGUGGGAUCAAGAAAGUUGGGGGCAGAGAGGACUCGGGAGGUUAGAGCAAACACACACACAUCCUCACACACCCACACCCCCAUCACACUCACACCCACACGCCCGUCACACACCCACACCCCCGUCACACACCCACACCCCCAUCAUACACACACACACACCCCCAUCACACUCAGACCCACACCCCGUCACACACACAGCCACACCCCCGUCACACACACCCACACCCCCGUCACACACACACACCCGUCACAAACACACACCCCCAUCACACACACACCCCCGUCACACACACACCCACACCCCAUCACACUCACACCCACACCACCGUCACACACACACACACAUCCCCGUCACACACAGUCACACCCCCGUCACACAAACCCCCGUCACACACACACACACCCGUCACACUCACACCAACACCCCGCCACACACACACACACCCCUGUCACACUCACACCCACACCCCUGCCACACUCACACCCACACCCCCGUCACACACCCACCCACACCCCCAUCACACACACAGUGACACCCCUGUCGCACACACCUGUCACACUCAUACCCACACCCCCAUCACACUCAUACCCACAUCCUUGUCACACACACACCCACACCCGUCACAUGCCCACACCCCCAUCACACUCACACCCACACCCCUGUCACACGCCCACACCCCCAUCACAUGCCAACACCCCCAUCACACACAUACCCCCAUCACACACCCACACGCCUAUCACACUCACACCCACACCCCCAUCACACACACUGACACCCCUGUCACACACACACCUGUCACACUCACACCCCCGUCACACACCCACAUCCCUGUCACACGCACCCACACCCCCGUCACACCCCACACCCCUGUCACACAUAUGCCCACACCCCCGUCACACACCCACCCACACCCCUGUCACACACACACCUCCCACACAUACCCAUGGGUGGGGAGAGCUGAGAU
rnacentral:lncRNA from 1 species